GACUUCCAUUUCCCUAAGAGCAACUUUAUGUUUCUUUUCCUUCCGAACCCAUCAAAGCCUCCUCCUCCUCCAAAACCCUUCCAAAUUCCCAAACCCCCUCCAUUGCCAUCUCCACUGCAAAUUUCUUCGAUAACCAGAUCCAGCGGCUGAGGCAAUAUCUUGAGGUUAGACACGAUGACGGGCAUCAAUUGGCGCAACAAUCUUGGUUCUUGGGUAAUCCCUAAGGCUAUAUAAGAGCUGAGGUAUUUAUAUAUCACAACAUAUUGGUGGUCUUUUGUUGCUAUGGAUAGAGCAGUUUGAUUGGUGUUUUCGGCUAUGUUUAGCAGAAGACUGUUUGGUAGCUCUUCCCAUUGCUGCUAGACAACAGAUAGCUGUUGUGAUCCUGCUUUUGUGUGGCUGUUUUUGGAAAUGCUUGAUAGCUUCUUUGACUACAGAGUUAAAACCUCUUGAAUGGAGAAGAAGGAACAUCAGCCAGCUACACAACAAAUGCAACAACAGCUAUCCCUUGCAAAAAACAUCAAAAAAGAAAAAUCCAUGUCCACCACCCAUUAAAAUAUAGAUAUACGCCUGUAGAAGAACAAUACUUUGCUCAAGGUUACUCAUAUU